rnacentral:rRNA from 1 species
GACGAACGCUGGCGGCGUGGAUUAGGCAUGCAAGUCGAACGGUAGGAUCCUUUCGGGGAUCUGAGAGUGGCGAACGGGUGAGUAACACGUAGGUGAUCUACCCUCAAGACGGGGACAACCCAGGGAAACUUGGGCUAAUACCGGAUGUGAGCUAUCGCGAGAUAGUUUGAAAGGUGGCUUCGGCUGCCGCUUGAGGAUGAGCCUGCGUCCUAUUAGCUAGUUGGUGAGGUAACGGCUCACCGAGGCAGUGAUAGGUAGGCGGCCUUAACGGGUGGUCGCCCACACUGGGAUUGAGAUACGGCCCAGACUCCUACGGGAGGCAGCAGUCGAGAAUAGUCUACAAUGGUCGAAAGACUGAUAGUGCGACGCCGCGUGAACGAAGAAGCCUUCGGGUGUAAGUUCUUUUAUAUGUGAGCAGUGCUUCUUAUAUUAACAGUAUGGGAGAGAGAUAUUAGUCAUAUGAAUAAGCAACGCGGUAACUCCGUGCCAGCACG